UAUUGCCUCUUAUUCUCCUUGCAGGGUUGCCUCUCCCUUGAAGAUCCAGGGUGUGUGGAGGAUGGUGGGUGGAAGAGAGAAUUCAGUUGAAGUACAAUGGGUAACAGCUGCAGUAGCCUGUUUGAGGGGAUUCUCACAGGAGAGCAAGGAAGAGUGCCUCACACAUGCCAGGUCCACUGAGCCCCAGAUGGAACCCACAGCACCUCGCUUUCCAGCCCCAGAUAGUCCUGCAACUGGCGUACACCAGCUCUCCUGAAUACUUGUUAGCUGUUGACAUGGAGGCUGGAGCUCAAGCAGCCAUCUUGAACCAUGAGUUCAGAGACAAGUUCUGAGAAUAGCAGUCCAGAUAGAAGGAUCCUGGAUCCCUGAUGACAUUAAGAAGGUCCCCUAGUACUCCUGCACUAUCAAAAUCUCCCUCAGACUUUUCC